rnacentral:lncRNA from 10 species
GUGCUCCCAUCUGCUGGGCUUCCAACCACUCAUUUCCCAUAGACACUCUCAUCACUGUAGGCCACAUACAGAAAAUAGUCUUCCUCAUGAUUGUCCUAGGGGAAGAGAUAAGACAACAGUUUAGAAAACAUAUUCAUUCAUUAGCUCUAAGAUGCUGAGCCUCACACAACCUUGUAAAGCAGGUAUGGAAGGUAUCAUUAGUCCCCAUUUAAAAGAGGAGCAAAGGAUAGGGAGAAGUGGUUGGAAUUACACUUUGAGCUCUGAGUUCACAAACAAAAAUCCUUCAUUGAAAACAUAUUACACAUAGGUAUCAGGGAUAUGAAGAUGACUAGGGCACAGUCCUCACUCUUAAAGAGCUCACUCCUAGCAAGGGGAACAUAGAUACCACAGAUGGAUAUAUAAUGGGACAUAUACUAACAGGGAAUAUAUGCUAUGCAAAAAAAGAUUCAGGAUUAUUAGAAGUUUACGUAAUUCAUUAACGGAGCACAAUGAGAAGGAAGCAUCUUAUGCAAAAUACUGCAAAAAACAAUAGUUAUAAUCCCAGGUUAUAUUUUCAGUAAUAAUAAAGUCCUUCACUAUAGUUUCCUCAGAUUCUGACACUUCCAAUUAAACCACAUCACAUAAAAAUUAUUCCUCCUGAGUUUAUCUGUUAAGACAUGAAUCCAUUUACAGACUUUGCCUUAAUUUUAUAUUUCAUUUUAUCUGAUUCAUUGUGCCCAGAUAAUGUGGAAUCUGUUUCACAGUUUUAGUUUUGUUCUAAGAAAAGUUUCCCCUUGUUUAGUAUCAAUGUGGUUGUCUUAAGCCAAAACUUCAGAGUUCAUAGAAGAAGCUGACUGUGGGGAGAAUCCUUCAGUUGGCAGAGGCUGGCCUCAGAGUUAGAAGGAGCUGGCUUUACUAUUACGUGCUUUCUCAAUCUGUUGCUAAAUGGGAGUAAAAUAAUGAACUGGAUUCUGAAUGCAUUACAAAUUACAUGCUACCAACCAGAAUAGCAGGAACUGCGAUGGGCUGACGCUUUGGAACUUUUGCUAUCAGGAAUCACUUCCUGCUGUUUCAAUAAACAGUCCAGCAUUAAAACACUAUAGUCAGACAAGACUAUAGUCAGACAAGAUUUCAGAAGGAUUAAAUCUAGUAGAGUGGCUAAUCCCUAAA